UCUUCUAGAACCUCCCUCUCCCUUAUGCUAGAGGUUAAGCCUAUAUGAUGAUACCUUUAACAAAGUCUCCAACUCUGCCUCGUAAACUGGCUGGUUCUGAAUUUCUUUGUGGCAUCAAAAUGAACGAUCUUGAUUCAGUCUGAGUCCACUUUCCUAAAACUUCAAGCUGCUGAGGGCGUCGGUGUGGAGUUGUCUGUAUUCCCUCCACUGUAGACAAAUUGGAGCACCAGGAGCCAGAUGCAUCCCUUCCCGUCCUUCUCAUACUCCUUGAUGCUGGUACAAUGGAGGUUGGUGGCUGUAACUUUAAAACUGAAGAUAGCCCAUAUCUGCCUCUCCAAUUAAGAGAUUCACCAGAAAGGUGCAAAUGCCUAAACCUGGGCCAGCAGGAUGUGCAAACAACAAAAGGCAGGAGAGUGCCAAGCCUGCUGUGAGCCACAGAAACCUCCACCCAGAGGUCCUGCUAGAAGAGGAGGGGCUGGCUUUCUCCACUGAGGAAUCAUGCCUUCAACAGAAUGGAAUGGAUCUAUGUUUUGAACACAUUGGAAAACCUAUCCCGUAAUUCUCUAACUCCAGAGAAAGGAACCGGAAGCUGACAGAAUUUUAGCUGUGUGUCAUGGCCACAGUCAUCUGAGGGAUUCAAGCCAUAGGUUCAGAUCUCUUGAGUUCCAGAACGUUCUAUGAAUUAUUUUGCUUUGUAGACAGUGUUGCUUCCAGGUGCACAGGCAGCAUUAGAUUUCCAGCAUGACAAAACCUAGCCCUUAAGGAAACACACAAUCUAAUAAUGCCUUUUACUCUGUGGAGAAUACUGCUAAGCCCUGGAAUUUUAAAAGCUCAAAAUAUUUGCUACUUUUUCUCACUCUGAUUCUUGAGGUAUGUCUAUCCUUACUAAAUUCAAAAGCCCCUAAUAAACAAGCACUUUCAAAUGCAUCUACACA